GCCGGGCACGGUGGCGCGUGCCUGUAGUCCUAGCUACUCGGGAGGCUGAGGUGGGAGGAUCACUUGAGCCCAGGAGUUCUGGGCUGUAGUGCGAUAUGCCGAUCGGGUGUCCACACUAAGUUUGGCAUCAAUAUGGUGACCUCUUGGGAGCGGAGGACCACCAGGUUGCCUAAGGAGGGGUGAACUGACCCAGGUCGGAAACAGAGCAGGUCAGAACUCCUGUGCAAUUGAUCAGUAGUGGGAGCACGCCUGUGAAUAACCACUGCACUCCAGCCUGGGCAACAUAGUGAGACCCCGUCUCU
rnacentral:SRP_RNA from 1 species